CCUGAGUAUUGAUUUCCCUGAUAGCGGUAUAAGGGAAGCCGCAGCCUUAGCGUGUGCUGUUAGUGCAUCCCUCGUGCCCUGGGAGGCGGAGGCAGUGGAGGUCUUGGCGGCGCCGCGUGGAGGAAGAGGGAGAAUGCAAUUGAUAUGGCGUCUAGCUUGUCAAGUUCUUAUUCUUUUAAUUUUUAUUUCUUUUUCGGUUUACUUCAGUAUUUUUCGCCUCAACUUUAUUUAUUUUUUGGGGGGGACUUAAUUACAAUGCUUUUUCUUGGAACUCAGUAUAACUUGUAUGAAGAACGUUUAAUACGCUGCUUUUUGCCACAGCAUGAGGAGGCAGAGGAGCUUCAAGAUGAGAAAAAAAGGAGUGAAGACAGUUAUUGUCCGUCUCUCGCAGUGAUGCCAAGGAAACAAUACAAAAUGACAAGGGCAUCAUCGCACUAAAUAGAGUAAGCAGGCAGGUGAGCUUUCAGAUAGUGAAACAAAAAGAUCAGAGGCAGGUGUUGUCUCGCACUGCUGGCAAGGAAACAAAACAAAAACUCGUGUCACACUCGCGUCCUGGCUUUGCUGGCGGCGGCUCUGUUAAUGUUACUUUGAUGACGUGCGGUCCCAUACACGCCGCGACGAAACGAGAUCGAGUGUGGAUGGUCGCUAGGUAAGGAAGGAAGGGUCAGGAGUGCGUAUAGCGAGGAAUGGUCUGCCAGUUUUUGUUUAGAUAUCUUUGCGUUAAGUUUUCCUCUCCUGUUUUCUUCUCUCCUUUCCCUCCUCGCCUCCAUCCUCCUCCUCCAUAAUUGACUUUACUUACAAGGAGUGAAGACCUAGAGAAACAGGUUACUAAGUUCUAGGUAGAGAGAAAUAGAGAGAAACAGGUUACUAAGUUACAAGUUACACAACGUGGUUUGUGAUGCACUCCCCAGCCUCUCAUCUUCCUAGUAGGUUGUUUAUUUGUUUACACAUGAAAUGUCAUCGUUCUUGGCAUUUGCUUCUUUCACGGCGAGGCUUUAUUUUUCUUUAGUGAGGCGAGGUGUAUGUGUACUAAGGGUUCCAAGUAGUAGUAGUAGUAGUAGUAGUAGUAGUACAGUUGAAGCGGUAGUCAGUCAGCAGUUAGUAGCAAAUUGGUGCACGAAAGAAAACUAUAGGAUAUAGUCUUUGCUGCAGGAUGUGGAUAGUAUAGUUCUUGGAGUGCAGUGUUUGAAGUGAGAAGGAAGAAGGAUCGGGUGGGUUUCAUCACUCCAUCAUACUUAUUAUCUGUUCAUUCCUUUUCACUUACCUGACAGGUAUUAUUACAUGCAAAACACUUCAUAGUGUAUCGUAAUAUUAUCAAACCAUUUUAUAUAUUUAUCCAACCAUGCAGGAAGGAAACUGCCUCGCCUGUACUUGUGGUUCCCUGCAGCAAGGGCGGAGACCAAGAGAGCGCGGCCGGGUCUCCUUCCUGUGCAGGUUUGGUAGUUACAAUACAAUCUCAUGGUUUGUUUGUUUAUAUGGCUUGUCUUUUAUGUAGUAGCCUUAACAUUGAUGAAAGUAAGCAUGAUGCAGUGAUGGAACCCGGUCUGGUCCUCCUCUCUCCUCCACGCUAUAAAACCAGGUACGCAUACUGGAAGUACGCAUACUGACGGUUCCACAUCUCGCAGGCGGGACUCGCAGGCAUUGCUUACUAUUUUUUUUUUUUAUUAAAAAGCGAAUUGACGACUAUCGCUUCAAACCACCACUUCAACCACUACUUACUCGACACUUUUCCAACCACAUUACAAAGGUGACUGACAUUUUAGGUGUGUGAGAUGAAAUGAACUGGAUAAAUCGGCUUCUCAAGGCCCUUCAGUAUAGACGAGACGAGAAAAGGACACUUUUCCAACCACAUUACAAAGGUGACUGACAUUUUAGGUGUGUGAGAUGAAAUGAACUGGAUAAAUCGGCUUCUCAAGGCCCUUCAGUAUAGACGAGACGAGAAAAGGAAACAGAGAGGGGAGGAGAGGAGUGAAGUUACAGGAAAGGAAAGGGAACGGAGAAAAGAUAUAGUAUAUAGGGAAAUUAGUUAGGGAAAGCAAAAAAAUAUAGGGGAAAACGUUGUUUGUCUAGUCACCCUACACACCAAAAAAUACGUCUUCAACGGAAUGAAAAAUAUCCGUGAGAAUUUUGAUUUCCUGCUUUAUUAAAAAAAAAAAAAAAAAAUUGUACUCAUUAUAAAGUUAAUAUUAUUUUAUACAAUACUUAAAAUUUGUAUUACAAUAAUACUUCGAAGAAUUCUACAAUACUUUUUUAAAUUGCAAUACCUCGAAGACUCUCCGGAGAAAAAACAAUACUUAAAUUACAAUACCUCGAAGACUCUCCGGAGAAAAAACCAGGACAGAUUUCA